AAAAAAACAUUCUUGAAAUCUCAGUAAACUCAUACACCACCUGGUAAAAAACAACAAUCUUGAAGAAACAAAGCAUAAUUUUGAGCUCACCACUUGAGAAUUCUAACAACUAUUUUUUUCUACCUACAUUCUUAUGCAAAGAGCUAUUUACAUCAGUUGUAGCAAUUAGCAAUAGCAUAGCAACAUCCCCCACUCAUGUGGCAAGCCCAUUCAACAAAUGAACAACCUCACUCGCAAGUGGCCUAUCCAUCAUUAUUUCACUAGUACACAUUGAAGCAAUUCCAAAGUAUUCCUUUACUCUUUCUUCCCUUAACCCUUCCUUUGCCAUUUUUGAAUCCAACAUUUCCAUAUGCCUAUUUUGCUCCAACAUUUUCCUUGCCCAUACUAUCAACCCCACCUCCUUCCCCUCUAAAACCAUUGGCAAAUUAGGCCUUUCACCUGUCGCGAUUUCGAUCAUUAAUAUUCCAAAACUAUAAACAUCUGCUUUCACCGUAGCCGCUGUCACUCCCUCUUUGUACUCCGGUGGCAUGUACCCCAUUGUUCCGGCCACCUGCGUUGACACAUGCGAAUGUGGUCCGUCGAUCGCCCGUGCCAACCCAAAAUCGGCAAUAUGGGCUUCGAAUUCCGAGUCCAAUAAGACAUUACUGGCCUUGAUAUCUCUGUGUAUAAUUGGAGUCUCCAACUGGUGCAGAUAUGCAAGCCCAUUUGCUAUGCCUCUCACUACCUUAAUCCUCGUCUCCCAAGAUAACGGUAAAUUCGCUAACUGUUCGCUCCCCGGCGACGAGUAGUGCAGCCAUUGGUCCAGGUUGCCUUUCUCAAUGAACUCGUAAAUUAACACCCUAUCGAGCCCGGACACGCAGUACCCAAGAAUUCUCACAAUAUUUGGGUGUUGUAGCUUACCUAAGGUUUCCAUCUCUGCUCGGAACUCCCGAAAACCUUGAAAGGCGUUGGGGUCGAGCUUCUUGAUGGCCACGGUGACGCCGUCGGAGAGACUGGCUUUAUAUACGAACCCGAAACUGCCGUCGCCGACAAUCAAGUCAGCGGAGAAAUUCUUGGUAGCGAUUUUUAGCUCAUCCAUGGAGACCCGGUUCAAACUGGGGUCAAAAGUGGCACUUUCAUCGAUGGUUAUGGAAGAGAGGUGAGGAUUGGGCACAGUUCGGAUACCGUUCAAUCCGAGUGUUUGGUGUUGGGGAUGGUGGAGGUUGUAGCGACGCGUGCGAUUUUUGGAGGAUUUGCAGAUGAGGCAGAUGAAAGCAAAGAAAGCAGAGAUGAAGAAGAAACUAGCAGCGGCGGCAAGAACAGAUUGAAGGGUAGAGUUCAUUUUGGAAGAAAAUGAGAGAGAGAGAAGG
rnacentral:misc_RNA from 1 species